CCAAGGAGUUUAGCGUGUACGCGAGUCAUUGGGUGGUAAAACCUAAAGGCGCAAUGAAAGUGAAGGAAACUCUGCUUUCUGCGGGAAGAUGGGUAUGGGCCCUGUUAAAGGACCACCUCGCACUCCCGGGGCGUCUCUAUCUCAUUGCGAGAGGAGGCGCACCUAGAGCGUACACGCUGAUACCCGAAAGAUGGUGAACUAUGCCUGGCCAGGACGAAGCCAGGGGAAACCCUGGUGGAGGUCCGCAGCGAUUCUGACGUGCAAAUCGAUCGUCGGAGCUGGGUUUAGGGGCGAAAGACCAAUCGAACCAUCUAGUAGCUGGUUCCCUCUGAAGUUUCCCUCAGGAUAGCUUGCGCUCGAUUGAAACGAGUCUCAUCCGGUAGAGCGAAUGAUUAGAGGCCUUGGGGUCGAAACGACCUCAACCUAUUCUCAAACUCCAAAUAGAUGAGAACCCCGGCUUUCUUGAACUUUGUUUAUGAAGCCGGGGGCUUGGAUCAGAGUGCCAAGUGGGCCAAUUUU
rnacentral:rRNA from 1 species